GGAAUGUCUUCAAAAGGUGCUGUUUCUCACAAAAAUACAAAAUUGCAAGCAUUUGUAUUUGAAAUUUCAAGCUAUGAAGAUGACAGGAACAGACAAUGCAGAUGUGGAAUCCAGUGAAAAUAAGGUUGAAGGAGAAGAUAGAUGGAGGAGAGUUGAGUGUUUAAGAGGAAGAUUGCUUGCUGAGGGAAUGGCUUCCAAAAAUGCUAGGGAGGAGGCACACCAACUGGGGAUUAUGCUGGUGGAAAUGGAAAGCUGAGAAGAAGCUGAAAUUGGUGAUGAAAUUGUGGGUAAAUACGAGGAAUUGAAUGAAAGAUCACAAGUGAAUUCAUGGAGUGUGAGGGGAUCGAUCAGUAGAGGAGGAUCCUUAUUCUUCAACUUCAAGAACGGAAUCAGCAUCCGGUGUUGGUGUUGGUGUUGGUGUUGGUGUUGGUGUUGGUGUUGAAGAAGGCGUGGAUGAUUCGAUGGCUAUAAAGAGAGAGAAACGAGGGUGGAACAAGUGCUGGAAUCGUUGAGGCGUGCUAAAGAGCAGCUUCAGAGCUCAAUGGAGGGAAGGCGCAUGGGCAUAAGCAUGAUUAAAGUUGGCUAGAUUACACUUCAAUCAUCAUUAUUAUCAACAACUUUAUUCAUAUCAAUCAUACACCAUAAUAUCUUUAUUAUCCUUCCGAGUACCAUGAAAGCAUUUAAUGGGCA